UAUUUGCGUGAGGGAUAGUAGCGGCAUCCUUUUGUGGAGCUUGCGGAACAAAAGAUACAGCGAAUAGCCCGACCCGAA
rnacentral:sRNA from 1 species